GACGAACGCUGGCGGCGUGCUUAACACAUGCAAGUCGAACGGAAAGGCCCUGCUUGCAGGGUGCUCGAGUGGCGAACGGGUGAGUAACACGUGGGUGAUCUGCCCCUUACUUUGGGAUAAGCCUGGGAAACUGGGUCUAAUACUGGAUAGGACCAUGCUGUAGGUGGUGUGGUGGAAAGAUUAGUUUCGGUAAGGGAUGAGCUCGCGGCCUAUCAGCUUGUUGGUGGGGUAAUGGCCUACCAAGGCGUCGACGGGUAGCCGGCCUGAGAGGGUGGACGGCCACAUUGGGACUAAGAUACGGCCCAGACUCCUACGGGAGGCAGCAGUGGGGAAUAUUGCACAAUGGGCGCAAGCCUGAUGCAGCGACGCCGCGUGGGGGAUGACGGCCUUCGGGUUGUAAACUCCUUUCAGCCAUGACGAAGCCCUUGUGGUGACGGUAGUGGUAGAAGAAGCACCGGCUAACUACGUG
rnacentral:rRNA from 1 species